rnacentral:rRNA from 1 species
CCUACGGGAGGCUGCCGUGGGGAAUAUUGGACAAUGGGCGAAAGCCUGAUCCAGCCAUGCCGCGUGUGUGAAGAAGGCCUUCGGGUUGUAAAGCACUUUCAGUGGGGAAGAAAGCCUUGGGGCUAAUACCCUCGAGGAAGGACAUCACCCACAGAAGAAGCACCGGCUAACUCCGUGCCAGCAGCCGCGGUAAUACGGAGGGUGCGAGCGUUAAUCGGAAUUACUGGGCGUAAAGCGCGCGUAGGCGGUCUGAUAAGCCGGUUGUGAAAGCCCCGGGCUCAACCUGGGAACGGCAUCCGGAACUGUCAGGCUAGAGUGCAGGAGAGGAAGGUAGAAUUCCCGGUGUAGCGGUGAAAUGCGUAGAGAUCGGGAGGAAUACCAGUGGCGAAGGCGGCCUUCUGGACUGACACUGACGCUGAGGUGCGAAAGCGUGGGUAGCAAACAGGAUUAGAUACCCCAGUAGUC